rnacentral:lncRNA from 1 species
AGGCUGGUAGGGCAGAACUACCACACUCAGAAAAGAAUAUUAUGUCCUAAAUUGUAACCAUAGUUUUAGUGUUGCCUCAUCUCUGUGAAGGCCGACACAGCCUAGAAGCUUAGCUGAUCUUCCAAGGUCUCCCAACAAAGAUAAAAUGGGACAGUGGACAUUUUAGCCAGCGUAGCAAUCAGACCAUGUUUUCCUACUGUUAGGUCCAAAUCGGAAGCAAUUAAGUGGGUUUUAUGUUCGAAAAACUGUGUAUGAGGUUGUGUGGCUCUCGUGAGAAGGUGCUUGGUGACAUUAGGUGGCAGCCUUCAGAGGAGCUAUUGACAGCUUGGGAAAUUAUGGCCAUCUAAAGAAAGGUUUUGUGAUUAUAUGUUCAAGUAGGAAGAAAAGUUUUAACUUGCACUGAAAUAGUAUGAAAUACCAUUUUACAUGAGGCUUAGCCUCGGAGAUAAGUUUGCUGCACGUGUACUGAGUAGCAGGGUCCAUCCGUUCAUCUUCAACCUGCUUGAGAACGUUCUGUCUGGUUGCUGGGAAGUUGCCAUGGCCACAUUCUGUUUUGGAGUUGUAGAGUUAGUACCAACUUGGGACUCAAGCUUGUAGGUGGACUGUUGAAACCCACGAGCUGAAGUGGCUGUGAUGGAGCAGAGGGCUCUGAAGAAACUGGUGGAGUCCUUCAGAAAAACUGUCAAGUGCUGUAAGUACCCAGCAGAGCCCUAACACUGCCUCAGCACCGUGAUUCAGGGAGAGGUUGGCUGAUGGAUUAGUUGAGAUUUAUUGGACAUCAGUGAGUGCUCUGGAACCAUACACGAAGAGUCCGUUUUUAAUGUUAUUGGUCAUUUAAAAAAAAAAAA